rnacentral:rRNA from 1 species
GUCUUGAUCUGCAACAGAUACGAGCAGGCAUUCGCUUCUCUCUAUGACUCCACAUGUCGUGCUUGGGGAGAUAGUUUCUCGAUGGCAAUAGAAAAUAAAAUUCAUUGGACAAGGUACAGCAUCCUUGUCGGAAAUGUGCUUUGCUGGGCGAUUUGUGGAGGUGAUGCCCAUGUUUUUGAUACUGAAAUGCAGAGUCUUGCUGUGAUUGAGAAGCCGGCAGACAAGAAAGCUAUCAGUGACUGGUCUUUUCAGCUCUUACGGAUGGAGGAUGGUGGACUAGGCCUCGCUGCUUUGUCGGGACUGACCGUCCAAUUAUGGGAUAGGAAACUUAACUGUGAAGGUGUUGUCGGAUGGGUGUUGCUGCAGAAAACCAUUCCUUUGGAGGGGUUGCUUCCAAGCACAAAGCCUUUGGUAUUUAUCGUGGGGUAUGAUGAGGACACAAAUGCGAUUGUUCGGUCUACGGGGAUUGGCAACUUCAUGAUCCAACUUGACUCAAUGCAGAUCAAACAUAUCAUUAAAAGAAAUGACAUGUGUAUCCACAUGUUUUAUCCCUACCAUAAUUUCUACACU